rnacentral:rRNA from 1 species
UACAGAGGGUGCAAGCGUUGCUCGGAUUUACUGGGCGUAAAGCGUACGCAGACGGCCACGCAGGUCGGGUGUGAAAGCCCCGGGCUCAACCCGGGAAUUUGCAUUCGAAACCAUGUGGCUCGAGUGUGGGAGAGGGUAGUGGAAUUCCUGGUGUAGAGGUGAAAUUCGUAGAUAUCAGGAGGAACACCGGCGGCGAAGGCGGCUACCUGGUCCACAACUGACGCUGAGGCGCGAAAGCUAGGGUAGCAAACGGGG